rnacentral:rRNA from 1 species
CAAAAACAUAGCUAAUAGAAAAAAUUAUUAUUAGUGAUGCCUGCUCAAUGAAAAUAGCCGCGGUAACACCUGACCGUGCAAAGGUAGCAUAAUAAAUAGCCUACUAAUUAUAGGAUAGAAUGAAGGUAAAACGAAGACCCAACUGUCUCAAGACCCUAAAUUUAAAAUAGAAUGUGUGUGUAAAUCCACACUAAAACGGCAAGACGAUUAGACCCUAAGAACUUUAAGCUCUAAGUUUCGUUGGGGCAACGAUCUUUAAAAAAGUAACUAAGAAAAUACCCAUUAACAAAUUAAUGAAAAAAAAUAAAAGUUCCUUAGGGAUAACAGCGUCAUAUCGUUCUUUAGAAAAUACCCAAACGAUGUUUGCGACC